AUGGCCAUGUGGUUUUUUAGGCUCGCUAUAUUCUGUUUGUCGUGUGUGCUGGUAUGCAUGCUGGGAAGUGAGGGCCUUCUGUUGUUUUUUCUUGUCGAAAAUGCCAAAAGUGCUACUGCUUGUUAUUGUUGGAGCAUAUAUUUAUGCCUUUUCUUAUUUGUCUGGAUCCUUGUAGGGCGUGUGAUUGCUGCUCCUUUGUUGGUGGAGUGUUGCUGUUUUGUUACUUUAGGUCUAGCUAGGCUCCAAGGAAUGGGAUUUUUGGAUCUGCCUUGUUUUGCGGGUACCUUUGUCCAGGGGAGUGUUGGAUCUAGCUAG
rnacentral:rRNA from 1 species